rnacentral:rRNA from 1 species
UGGGGAAUAUUGGACAAUGGGCGCAAGCCUGAUCCAGCCAUGCCGCGUGUGUGAAGAAGGCCUUAUGGUUGUAAAGCACUUUAAGCGAGGAGGAGGCUACUUUAGUUAAUACCUAGAGAUAGUGGACGUUACUCGCAGAAUAAGCACCGGCUAACUCUGUGCCAGCAGCCGCGGUAAUACAGAGGGUGCAAGCGUUAAUCGGAAUUACUGGGCGUAAAGCGCGCGUAGGUGGUUCGUUAAGUUGAAUGUGAAAGCCCCGGGCUCAACCUGGGAACUGCAUCCAAAACUGGCGAGCUAGAGUAGGGCAGAGGGUGGUGGAAUUUACUGUGUAGCGGUGAAAUGCGUAGAUAUAGGAAGGAACACCAGUGGCGAAGGCGACCACCUGGGCUCAUACUGACACUGAGGUGCGAAAGCGUGGGGAGCAAACAGG